rnacentral:misc_RNA from 1 species
UAAUAAGUGUUUUAUGGCACUUUUUUAAGUCCAUAUCCACCUUGUGUGCAAUGUCGGUCGAUCUUCUUUUUUUGAGGAUCGACCAAACAUCAACCUUUAUUUUUUUAACUCUUUGUCUGAAAAAUAUUAUGAAUAAACAACUCAAAAUA